rnacentral:lncRNA from 1 species
GCGAGGCCGGCCUGGGGAUAGCGAUGCUCGGGUUCCCCCCGGGUCGCCCGCAGCUCCCGGUCCAGCUCCGCCCACAGACUCGGAUGGCGACCGCACUGAGGGACCCGGCUUCGGCUGUUCAGUGGAAGAAAAGACUUUAGAGAUGGAUGAGGACGUUGAGGCAGAGGGAGGUUGAAUAUUUUUCCAAGGCCACACAACUGGUGAGAGGCAGCACUAAGGACCGAGGCGCACAGGUUAGACAGUCGACCCAAAGUUACGUGGCUCUGGGCCGGGGCAAGGGUACAGGGAAGGCCUGUGCCCAUGGAGCACUGCCAUGAUCACAUUCCUCUGAGGCCUGCGUCUUUCCACAGGUUCCCAUAGCUACAGAGGUGCUUUUCAAACUUACACAGGUAAGUGGAGGUAUCUCAGCCCCUCACUGGUCUGGAAUGUCCCUCCACCCUCCCCAG